CUCAAAACACACCUCCUCCUCAUCCCUCCGUACAUCCUAAUCCCACAAUGGGCUCAGAAAUGCCCAAUUUAACUUUGGGCUUUUCUCGGCCCAGUCCAAUGCCAUCCACCAUUCUUUAAAAAUUAAAAAAAGAACUAUGCUUCAAACUUCAAUUCAACUAAUACGAAUGGCAUUGGCAUCAGCUACGGUUACAAUCUCGCGUUCGCUGAUUCAGCCACGACCUAUAUUCCUUGCGUAUCGGAACAACCACGCUACUUCUAGAAUCUUCCAAUUCCGUUACACUCGUCUUGGACGUUCUCUCUCCGCCAUGACCUCGCCUCAAGCUGCUUCCUCGGACUCCACGAACUCGUCUUCUACCAAAACGGAGAGGGUGGUGAUAAAGGGGAGGGUGCAGGGAGUGUGGUACAGGAACUGGACCAUCGAGAAUGCGACGUCGUUGGGGCUGAAGGGAUGGGUGCGCAACCGAAAGGAUGGGUCCGUGGAGGCUCUGUUCUCAGGGAGCACCGAUGCGGUUCAGGAAAUGGAGCAGAGGUGUCGCCGUGGUCCUCCCGAUGCCGUCGUCACGGGGAUUGAGGUUUUCCCCGGCGACGAUGACCCUGGCACUGGUUUCCAACGCAAACCAACUAUUUGAUCGAUCGUUAAUCAAUCAAUCAAUACUGGUGCCAGAUGAUGUUAUGGAAGGAUUUGCUGUUCUUGCUAUCAUGGGACUGCGGAGUGGGUGAAAGAAGUGUGUGGCUUCAAACAGAAGGGAGAUCUGUUAAUUCCGUGCUAUCCUUAAGGACUAUAGAAGAUAAUAGGUGAACAAAGGACGGAGAGAUGGAAGCAAUUCUGUUUUCCAGCCACAGGCCCAUGAGUGCAGCAUGCAUAUGAUUAUGCUGAAUGUAUUUUUUAGCGUAGUUUUUGUAUGUAGCGCGGUUUACUGCGAUUAACAUAAGAUCGGAAAGAAACUUGUUGAACUUAUGCAAAUUAAUAGAUUCAA